rnacentral:rRNA from 1 species
GUGGGGAAUUUUGGACAAUGGGCGCAAGCCUGAUCCAGCCAUUCCGCGUGCAGGAUGAAGGCCUUCGGGUUGUAAACUGCUUUUGUACGGAACGAAAAGCCUCUGGUUAAUACCCGGGGGUCAUGACGGUACCGUAAGAAUAAGCACCGGCUAACUACGUGCCAGCAGCCGCGGUAAUACGUAGGGUGCGAGCGUUAAUCGGAAUUACUGGGCGUAAAGCGUGCGCAGGCGGUGAUGUAAGACAGUUGUGAAAUCCCCGGGCUCAACCUGGGAACUGCAUCUGUGACUGCAUUGCUGGAGUGCGGCAGAGGGGGAUGGAAUUCCGCGUGUAGCAGUGAAAUGCGUAGAUAUGCGGAGGAACACCGAUGGCGAAGGCAAUCCCCUGGGCCUGCACUGACGCUCAUGCACGAAAGCGUGGGGAGCAAACAGGAUUAGAAACCCGUGUAGUCC